rnacentral:rRNA from 1 species
UACGAAGGGGGCUAGAGUUGCUCGGAAUCACUGGGCGUAAAGGGUGCGUAGGCGGGUCUUUAAGUCAGGGGUGAAAUCCUGGAGCUCAACUCCAGAACUGCCUUUGAUACUGAGGAUCUUGAGUUCGGGAGAGGUGAGUGGAACUGCGAGUGUAGAGGUGAAAUUCGUAGAUAUUCGCAAGAACACCAGUGGCGAAGGCGGCUCACUGGCCCGAUACUGACGCUGAGGCACGAAAGCGUGGGGAGCAAACAGG